rnacentral:rRNA from 1 species
AGCGAACGCUGGCGGCAGGCCUAACACAUGCAAGUCGAACGGACCCUUCGGGGUUAGUGGCGGACGGGUGAGUAACACGUGGGAACGUGCCCUUUGGUUCGGAACAACUCAGGGAAACUUGAGCUAAUACCGAAUGUGCCCUUCGGGGGAAAGAUUUAUCGCCAUUGGAGCGGCCCGCGUCUGAUUAGCUAGUUGGUGGGGUAAUGGCCCACAAAGGCUACGAUCAGUAGCUGGUCUGAGAGGAUGAGCAGCCACAUUGGGACUGAGAAACGGCCAAAACUCCUACGGAGGCAGGAAGUGGGGAUUCUGGCGAAAUGGGCAAAAGCCGACCGCAGCCAUGCGGGGUGAUGAAUGAAGGUUUAGGAUUGUAAAAUUCUUUCACCGGGGACGAUAAUGACGGUACCCGGAGAAGAAGCCCCGGCUAACUUCGUGCCAGCCGCCGCCGUAAAAC